rnacentral:snoRNA from 1 species
UUAACCAAGAAGGAAUGUGCCUAGAGUCAUGGAUGCUGUAGUUGCCUGUGGAAGGCAUCUGUGGGCCAGUGAGGGAGUGAGUAUGCAAGUGUUCAUGCCCCUUAACCCUUGUUCUUAUUUGAUAGAGGAUGUGAUGCUUGACCUACAUCCCAGCCUGGCAGCCAGAAAUAAAAUGUUCUAAAGGCCCCAUGUUAGGGAGCUAUGCAGAAAGGACCUUUGGGCAAAGACAGUGUCAUGAGCUUCCAAGGUACAAGGGCUGGUCCUCAACUUCCUUCCACUCUCCACCCAACUCCCAGUACUCAAGAACUAAUGAGUUAGGAGAAACUGGGUGUGUUCUGGCCACUGAUUAUGGAUGUGAUUUUGAUCUGA